rnacentral:hammerhead_ribozyme from 1 species
AUCCAGACGACGAAUCCCGAAUAGGAUGAAACACGCGUCCUGAAU